ACGGAAGGCAGCAGCUAAGAAUAUUCCGCAAUGGACGAAAGUCUGACGGAGCGACGCCGCGUGGAUGAUGAAGGUCGGAAGAUUGUAAAAUCCUUUUAUCACUGAGGAAUAAGUAUGGUGAGAGCAACGCCAUAUGGUGACUGUAGAUUAUGAAUAAGCAACGGCUAAUUACGUGCCAGCAGCCGCGGUAACACGUAAGUUGCGAGCGUUGUUCGGAAUUAUUGGGCGUAAAGGGCAUGUAGGCGGUUUGGCAAGCUUGGUGGGAAAUUCCGGAGCUCAACUCCGGAACUGCGUUGAGAACUGCAUAACUAGAGUCACUGAGGGGCAAUCAGAAUUCCUGGUGUAGGGGUGAAAUCUGUAGAUAUCAGGAAGAAUACCAAUGGCGAAGGCAGGUUACCAGCAGAUGACUGACGCUGAGGUGCGAAGGUGCGGGGAGCAAACAGGAUUAGAUACCCUGGUA
rnacentral:rRNA from 1 species